UACGGAGGGUGCAAACGUUGCUCGAAAUCAUUGGGCGUAAAGCGCACGUAGGCGGCCCGGUAAGUCGGAUGUGAAAUCCCUCGGCUCAACCGAGGAAGUGCAUUCGAAACUGCCAGGCUUGAAUAUGGAAGAGGGUCGCGGAAUUCCCGGUGUAGAGGUGAAAUUCGUAGAUAUCGGGAGGAACACCAGUGGCGAAGGCGAUCACCUGGGUUGUUCUGACGCUGAGGAGCGAAAGCUAGGGAGCAAACGGG
rnacentral:rRNA from 1 species